GCUGUGCAUGCAAGGAGGAACUUCAAGCUGCCUAAAGAGGCUCUCCUAGAAAACAAUUUGAGGCCCAUGCAAGAUCUCAGACAAGGGACAAAUUCUUCCAGCAUCAGGCAGAGCAGCUUCUAGAGAUGAGAGAGAGAGAGAGAGAGAGAGAGAGAGAGAGAGAGAGAGAGAGAGAGAGAGAAAGGAAAAGCUAGAAAGAGCAAUUGGUGGCAUGAGCCAUUAAUCCCAGCGUUCAGGAGGCAGAGACAAGCAGCUCUCUUGAGUUUGAGGACAGCCUGGUCUACAUAAGUGAGUUCCAGGACAGCCAUGGCUACGUGGAGAAACCCUGUCUCGAACAAAAAAAAAAAAAAAGGAGUAAUUGAAUACAAAGCCAGAAUAGGGUUGGAGAGAUGGCUCAGUGGUUAAGAGCACUGACUGCUCUUCCAGAAGUCCUGAGUUCAGUUCCCAGCAACCACAUCAUAAUGGGAUCCAAUGCCCUCUUCUGGUGUGUCUGAAGACAGCAACUGUGUACUCAUAUACAUUAAAUAAAUAAAUCUUUAAAAAGAAAAAACC
rnacentral:lncRNA from 1 species